rnacentral:rRNA from 1 species
UACGUAGGGCGCAAGCGUUAUCCGGAAUUAUUGGGCGUAAAGAGCUCGUAGGCGGCUUGUCGCGUCGACCGUGAAAACCCGCAGCUCAACUGCGGGCUUGCGGUCGAUACGGGCAGGCUCGAGUUCGGUAGGGGAGACUGGAAUUCCUGGUGUAGCGGUGAAAUGCGCAGAUAUCAGGAGGAACACCGGUGGCGAAGGCGGGUCUCUGGGCCGAUACUGACGCUGAGGAGCGAAAGCGUGGGGAGCGAACAGG